GCCUACGGGGGGCAGCAGUAGGGAAUCUUCCACAAUGGACGAAAGUCUGAUGGAGCAACGCCGCGUGAGUGAAGAAGGGUUUCGGCUCGUAAAGCUCUGUUGGGAGUGAAGAAAGAUAGAGGUAGUAACUGGCCUUUAUUUGACGGUAAUUACUUAGAAAGUCACGGCUAACUACGCGCCAGCAGCCGCGGUAAUACGUAGGUGGCAAGCGUUGUCCGGAUUUAUUGGGCGUAAAGCGAGUGCAGGCGGUUCAAUAAGUCUGAUGUGGAAACCCUCGGGUCAACCGGAGGAUUGCAUCAGAAAAU
rnacentral:rRNA from 1 species